rnacentral:miRNA from 1 species
UGCAUGCACACUUCUUCAGAUAUCUGAAGAAGAUAUCAGGUAUCUGAAGAAGUGUGCAUGCA